GGUGAGUCACAGAUGAACAGUCAGGUGACUCAUAGGUAAAGAGUCAGGUGAGUCACAAAUGAAGAGUCAGGUGAGUCAGUUGAACACACAGGUGAGUCAAAGGUGAACAGUCAGGUGAGUCAAAGGUGAACAGUCAGGUGAGUCACAGGUGAAGACACAGGUGAACAGUCUGGUGAGUCAAAGGUGAACACACAGGUGAGUCAAAGGUGAACAGUCAGGUGAGUCAAAGGUGAACACAGAGGUGAGUCACAGGUGAGUCAAAGGUGAACACAGAGGUGAGUCACAGGUGAGUCAAAGGUGAACACAGAGGUGAGUCACAGUUGAACACACAGGUGAGUCAAAGGUGAACAGUCAGGUGAGUCAAAGGUGAACAGUCAGGUGAGUCACAGGUGAACACACAGGUGAGUCAAAGGUGAACAGUCAGGAGUAUUAUACUAACGUGGACCGUGAGGAAGAGAGAAAACUGCAAAGAUACUGUCACAGUCUGUGAAAGAGGAGAAACACUGUGAGGAGGAGGAACAUGAUGAAAAUAAACUCUGAUCAAUCGAUUGACCACUGAAACAACAUAUGUCAGCUGGUCAGUGGGCGGGGCUUACUGGAGUGGAA